GGAUUGUAGCUCAGUGGUAGAGCACUCACCUAGCAUGUGCAAGGCCCUGGGUUCGAUCCUUAGCACCA
rnacentral:tRNA from 1 species